rnacentral:rRNA from 1 species
UUUUCUUGCUCAUUCCGCCUAUAUACCACCGUCGUCAGCUUACUCUUUGAGGAACCAGCCGUAAGCGCAACUGGUACAACCUAAAACGCCAGGUCGAGGUGUAGCGAAUGGAAAGGGAAGAAAUGGGCUACAUUCAAUAACAAUAAUGCAUACGAACGAUGUUCUGAAAUAAACAUCUGAAGGAGGAUUUAGUAGUAAGUAGAGAGCAGAGUGCUCUGCUGAAGCCGGCCCUGAAGCGCGUACACACCGCCCGUCACUCUCCCCGAGCUAACCAUACAAAUUUAUAAUAAGCAAAACUUGCAAAGGGGAGGCAAGUCGUAACAUGGUAAGUGUACCGGAAGGUGCGCUUGGCAAAACCCGAAAGUGAAGCAAACACAAAAAUAAGCCCCUCGAACCCUGAGGAAGCAUCUGUGCAAAUCAGAUCACUAUUGACCUAACUUUAGACACG